ACACAUGCAGUCGAGGGGUAUAGUUCUUCGGAACUAGAGACCGGCGCACGGGUGCGUAACGCGUAUGCAAUCUACCUUUUACAGAGGGAUAGCCCAGAGAAAUUUGGAUUAAUACCUCAUAGUAUAAUGACUUGGCAUCAAGACAUUAUUAAAGUCACAACGGUAAAAGAUGAGCAUGCGUCCCAUUAGCUAGUUGGUAAGGUAACGGCUUACCAAGGCUACGAUGGGUAGGGGUCCUGAGAGGGAGAUCCCCCACACUGGUACUGAGACACGGACCANACUCCUACGGGAGGCAGCAGUGAGGAAUAUUGGACAAUGGGCGCAAGCCUGAUCCAGCCAUGCCGCGUGCAGGAUGACGGUCCUAUGGAUUGUAAACUGCUUUUAUACGAGAAGAAACACUACUUCGUGAAGUAGCUUGACGGUNUCGUAAGAAUAAGGAUCGGCUAACUCCGUGCCAGCAGCCGCGGUAAUACGGAGGAUCCAAGCGUUAUCCGGAAUCAUUGGGUUUAAAGGGUCCGUAGGCGGUUUAGUAAGUCAGUGGUGAAAGCCCAUCGCUCAACGGUGGAACGGCCAUUGAUACUGCUGAACUUGAAUUAUUAGGAAGUAACUAGA
rnacentral:rRNA from 1 species